GAUGAACGCUGGCGGCGUGCCUAAUACAUGCCAGUCGAGCGAACAGACGAGGAGCUUGCUCCUCUGACGUUAGCGGCGGACGGGUGAGUAACACGUGGAUAACCUACCUAUAAGACUGGGAUAACUUCGGGAAACCGGAGCUAAUACCGGAUAAUAUAUUGAACCGCAUGGUUCAAUAGUGAAAGACGGUUUUGCUGUCACUUAUAGAUGGAUCCGCGCCGCAUUAGCUAGUUGGUAAGGUAACGGCUUACCAAGGCGACGAUGCGUAGCCGACCUGAGAGGGUGAUCGGCCACACUGGAACUGAGACACGGUCCAGACUCCUACGGGAGGCAGCAGUAGGGAAUCUUCCGCAAUGGGCGAAAGCCUGACGGAACAACGCCGCGUGAGUGAUGAAGGUCUUCGGAUCGUAAAACUCUGUUAUUAGGGAAGAACAAAUGUGUAAGUAACUAUGCACGUCUUGACGGUACCUAAUCAGAAAGCCACGGCUAACUACGUG
rnacentral:rRNA from 1 species